AUCCACUACAAGAAACCAACAUGGUUUGAGGGAUCAAUUCCAGAAAGCUUAGAUAGGCUCCCCUGGGAUUAUAACACAGUGCCAAAGAGUCAUAUGAAGCUCAUGAAAUGCCAGGGUAUCCAUCAUAAGGGCAGGGUACAAAAGUGGGGAAUUUAAUAGACCAAUAGUUCUCUGGCCAUGCAAACCAAACUCCAGCCAGCAGACCAGAAAAAGUCUGGAACUAGUCCCAUGGAAGUGAAUGACAAGGCAUAAGAAGGGUACAAGGGACACAGGCAAAGGAACUGAGUUUCAAGGAGUGGCCACAUGGAACUGUUUGGUGCAACAGGACAUAAGCAGAAGUGCACUGGGUAUGUCUCCUAGAGAUGUGCUUACUCUUCUAACAGAAGAAACAGAGGUCUCCAUUCCCUACAUCUUCCUGCUUUAAAUCGUUAAGAUGUGAUGCUAGAGCUUUCAGUACAUUGACUCUGGAGAAAGAAAAAAAGAAUGACUUAAUUAAAGAGCGCUGUCACAGCCUACCAAGUCCAGCAUCUGGGGAAUUUCUUCUCUCUGCCUUGAUUUUACAAUAUUUUGUGAAACCAGAAUCUCAUAAAUAGUGGAAAAAAUGAAACAUCAUAAUUUUUCAAGGUUGAGCACUUACUGAGGGGAGAUGUCCAGAAUGAUACUAAUGGG
rnacentral:lncRNA from 1 species